AAGAAAAGAAAAAGAAAUUUUUUUCCUUCCUUCUUCCUCCCGUUUUCUUCUUCUCCUUCCUAUACCCUAGCAGCCGCACGCCCUCUCUUCCCUUCCGUUCGCCGCCGCUCCUUCUUCUCUUUUCUUCCUCUUUCGUUCGACGUCGACUGUCAGACCAAGCCGAAAACGAAAACCCAUCCCUCUUUUCUUUUCGUUUUCUACCGCCGGCCACCCCAAAAUUUCUCUUCUUCCGUUUCUCUUUCUUUUCUACCAUACCCAGCCGCCGCUGCAACCGUCGGCCGCCAUCUCUGUUCGCGAAGCAAGUCGUACACGUCACCUUGCAGCUGUCGUCCAGAUCUGCGUCGCCGUGCCCCGUCCCAAUCGCCUCUGUCUCCGUCGAAGCCAAGCCCAGCCGCCGCCCAUUCCUUUCCUCUCCGUUCGUGAAGCCCGGUCGCCGCAUCAGAUCGUCGAUCGAUUUUGAGGCAGCGCGCACGUCUACUUCCAGCCGCGCGUUUUCUCUUCUUCCAGCAGCGUGUUUUUCUUCUAACCGCGAUUCACAAGCCAGCGUACACUCUAAUCUGUCUGCACGAUGGUUUUUGUUUAGAAUCGAUUGCCGCUGUCCCUAUUUUUACUGAGAUCCGUCGAAGUUUUGUUGGUGUGAAAGAUAACUUUGUAUCACUUAAAUUCACAACCAAUUUGUGAAUUUUGAUUUCGGGUUGCUCUUAUUUGGAUUGUUUCGUGGACGAUAGUUGGUUAAGGAGCUUCCCUAACUUUGAGGCAAAGGUAAUAAAGACGGCAAACCGACGAGGGGCAGGAAGAAAGCGUGAUUUCCAUAUGGGUUAUUUUAAAUUUGCUUCCGCUUAAUAAUUGUUGGACUUGGACUUGGGUCCAUUUUCCUACUAGACUUGGACUUGAGCUCAUCAUCCUUUUUGGCUUUAUUUUUAUAUCUAAGGUUUGAAUUGGGUUGGGUAUGGUAAAACUUAAUUACCAAAAUUCAAUCAAAUUAUAAAUAUCACAAUGUUUGACGUGAUAACGUGGCAAAAUUUAAUUAGCAAAAAUUUCUUACUCAACAAAUGCCCAUUUUUUGAGAUUUGUACAUGAGAAUGAGUGGAUGAAUCUUGAAAAUGAUAAGUUGAAAUCAAAGAUACAAGUGAUUUUGUUCU